GUUUCCGUAGGUGAACCUGCGGAAGGAUCAUUAUUGUAUAACCGAGGUGCGAGGGCUGUCGCUGACCCGAAAGGUCGUGCACGCCCGAGUGCCCUCACACACAUCCAUCUCACCCCUAUGUGCACCACCGCGUGGGUCCCCCUUUGGCUUGUUCGGAGGGGGGCUUACGUUUUCACACAAACUUUGUAUGUAGUGUAGAAUGUAUUUUUUGUUUUUGCGAUCACGCAAUCAAUACAACUUUCAACAACGGAUCUCUUGGCUCUC
rnacentral:misc_RNA from 1 species